GGUGACAUAGCCAAGUGGUAAGGCAAGGGACUGCAACUCCCUGAUCACCAGUUCAAAUCUGGUUGUCACCU
rnacentral:tRNA from 1 species